rnacentral:rRNA from 1 species
CCAAUAGCGUAUAUUAAAGUUGUUGCAGUUAAAAAGCUCGUAGUUGAACUUCGGGGUCUACCCAUUGGUCAGGCUUAAUUGUCUGUACUGGUGAGAUGGAUCUCUACCUUCUGAGGAACUUUCAUGCCAUUUAUUUGGUGUGGUUGGAAAUCAGGACUGUUACUUUGAAAAAAUUAGAGUGUUUAAAGCAGACUAUCGUCUGAAUACAUUAGCAUGGAAUAAUGAAAUAGGACGGACUGAUUCUAUUUCGUUGGUUUCUAGGAUCACCGUAAUGAUUAAUUGGUAUAGUUGGGGGCAUUAGUAUUCAAUUGGCAGAGGUGAAAUUCUUGGAUUUAUUGAAGACUAACUACUGCGAAAGCAUUUGCCAAGGAUGUUUUCAUUAAUCAAGAACGAAAGUUAGGGGAUCGAAGACGAUCAGAUACCGUCGUAGUCUUAACCAUAAACUAUGCCGACUAGGGAUCGGACGAAGUUAAUUUUAUAAUGACGCGUUCGGCACCUUACA